rnacentral:rRNA from 1 species
UACGGAGGAUCCAAGCGUUAUCCGGAUUUAUUGGGUUUAAAGGGUGCGCAGGCGGAAGAUUAAGUCGGCGGUGAAAUUUUGCAGCUCAACUGUAAAAGUGCCAUCGAUACUGGUUUUCUUGAGUGUGGAUGAAGUAGGCGGAAUUUGUGGUGUAGCGGUGAAAUGCAUAGAUAUCACGAGGAACUCCGAUUGCGCAGGCAGCUUACUAGGCCAUAACUGACGCUCAGGCACGAAGGCGUGGGGAUCAAACAGGAUUAGAUACCCUGGUAGUCCACGCAGUAAACGAUGAUUACUCGCUGUUUGCGAUACACAGUAAGCGGCUUAGCGAAAGCGUUAAGUAAUCCACCUGGGGAGUACGUUCGCAAGAAUGAA